AGAACGAACGCUGGCGGCAUGCCUAAUACAUGCAAGUCGAACGAACUCUUCGGAGUUAGUGGCGCACGGGUGCGUAACGCGUGGGAAUCUGCCCUUGGGUUCGGAAUAACAGUUGGAAACGACUGCUAAUACCGGAUGAUAUCGAAAGAUCAAAGAUUUAUCGCCCAGGGAUGAGCCCGCGUAGGAUUAGCUAGUUGGUGAGGUAAUGGCUCACCAAGGCGACGAUCCGUAACUGGUCUGAGAGGAUGAUCAGUCACACUGGAACUGAGACACGGUCCAGACUCCUACGGGAGGCGAGCGAGUGGGGAAUA
rnacentral:rRNA from 1 species